GAUGUCCGUAUACACUUGGUCACUGCGGUUUAGUACUGAACGAACCAUCUUUGUUUAUCCAAGGAUACUUCUUACACGGCCUAAAAACUGUCUAAAGCUGACCUUUACGGUUGAACGGUUUCUGGUAAACUAUUUAUCGUAUAAAAGCAUUUGAGAAGUGUCUUAUAUCACACCUAGAGUUACUUCAGUUUCAGUUGGUCGUCCCAAGAGAAAUACAGUAAAAUGCCUGCCCCCUGCGAACCAAGCAAAGAUACGUGCAAGGAGGGAGCUGCCUGCAAGGACGACUGCUCUUGUGAGGACAACUGCUCUGACUGCUCUACGAAACCAGGUGGAUGCUGUUAAACAUGAACUGGACCAUGGUAUCAUCUGCUUGUCCUUCGAUUUCAGCUGUUCACAGUAAUAAUAUUAGUUAAAUGUAUAAUAUUUAUUCCUGAAAUAAAGUUAGUGGUGCCCAUUUAA